rnacentral:rRNA from 1 species
UGCCAGACUCCUACGGGAGGCAGCAGUGGGGAAUAUUGCACAAUGGGGGAAACCCUGAUGCAGCGACGCCGCGUGAGCGAUGAAGUAUUUCGGUGUGUAAAGCUCUAUCAGCAGGGAAGAAAAUGACGGUACCUGACUAAGAAGCCCCGGCUAACUACGUGCCAGCAGCCGCGGUAAUACGUAGGGGGCAAGCGUUAUCCGGAUUUACUGGGUGUAAAGGGAGCGUAGACGGCUGUGCAAGCCAGAUGUGAAAGCCCGGGGCUCAACCCCGGGACUGCAUUUGGAACUGUGUGGCUGGAGUGUCGGAGAGGCAGGCGGAAUUCCUAGUGUAGCGGUGAAAUGCGUAGAUAUUAGGAGGAACACCAGUGGCGAAGGCGGCCUGCUGGACGAUGACUGACGUUGAGGCUCGAAAGCGUGGGGAGCAAACAGGAUUAGAUACCCCAGUA